rnacentral:tRNA from 1 species
GGGCCGGUGGUGGAAUUGGUAGACACGCUAGAUUUAGGUUCUAGUGCCGUGAGGUGUGAAGGUUCAAGUCCUUUCCGGCCUACCA